rnacentral:rRNA from 1 species
CCUUGAAUUUGAGCACCUUCUGUUUCCUCGGCGGGUUCGCCCGCCAACGAGGACCCCUUGAACUCUUUGUAGUAGCAGUAUUUGUCUGAAAACAAAGUUAAUUAAUUAAAACUUUCAACAAUGGAUCUCUUGGUUCUGGCAUCGAUGAAGAACGCAGCGAAAUGCGAUAAGUAGUGUGAAUUGCAGAAUUCAGUGAAUCAUCGAAUCUUUGAACGCACAUUGCGCCCCUCGGUAUUCCGUGGGGCAUGCCUGUUCGAGCGUCAUUUAAACCUUCAAGCUCAGCUUGGUAUUGGGUGCUUGUCCCGCCUCUGCGCGGCGACUCACCUCAAAGUCAUUGGCAGCCCGCAUCCGCCGGCCGUGAGCGCAGCACAGUCGCACUCUAGGUAUUUGGCAGGUCGGCUCUCCAGAAGCACUUCUUUUAUUAUUGACCUCGGAUCAGGUAGGGAUACCCGCUGAACUUAAGCAUAUCAAUAAGCGGAGGAAAAGAAACCAACAGGGAUUGCCUCAGUAACGGCGAGUGAAGCGGCAACAGCUCAAAUUUGAAAUCUGGCUCUUUCAGAGUCCGAGUUGUAAUUUGUAGAGGGUGCUUUGGCGUUGGCCGUGGUCUAAGUUCCUUGGAACAGGACGUCACAGAGGGUGAGAAUCCCGUACGUGGCCGCCGGUCUUCGCCGUGUAAAGCCCCUUCGACGAGUCGAGUUGUUUGGGAAUGCAGCUCUAAAUGGGAGAUAAAUUUCUUCUAAAGCUAAAUAUUGGCCAGAGACCGAUAGCGCACAAGUAGAGUGAUCGAAAGAUGAAAAGCACUUUGGAAAGAGAGUCAAAAAGCACGUGAAAUUGUUGAAAGGGAAGCGCUUGCAGCCAGACGUGCCCGCAGUUGCUCACCUGGGCUCUCGCCCGGGGCAUUCUUCUGCGGGCAGGCCAGCAUCAGUUCGGGCGGUUGGAUAAAGGCCUCUAUCA